ACCAAAACUACCUUCAGACAAACACGGCUGAAAUUGAGCUGAAUUUGUGCUAUAUGCAGUAUAUCGAUCAAUACAUAGGUAAUGGAGUGUUUGCUAGGCAAGAGCUCUUGAAGGGGCAGUUUAUUCUCGAGUACAGAGGAGAACUAUGUAAACAGCAGUCUGAUGGUGAUGAAAUGUUCAAAUACCAUUUCAGACAUAACAACAAGGAAUACUGCAUCGAUGCCUCAAAAGACACGUGUCUGGCA